rnacentral:rRNA from 1 species
UUUCCUACGGGGCGCAGCAGUGGGGAAUAUUGGGCAAUGGGCGCAAGCCUGACCCAGCAACGCCGCGUGAAGGAAGAAGGCUUUCGGGUUGUAAACUUCUUUUAUUGAGGACGAAACAAAUGACGGUACUCAAUGAAUAAGCCACGGCUAACUACGUGCCAGCAGCCGCGGUAAUACGUAGGUGGCAAGCGUUAUCCGGAUUUAUUGGGUUUAAAGGGUGCGUAGGCGGAUUUUUAAGUCAGCGGUAAAAUGUCCGGGCUCAACCCGGGCCGGCCGUUGAAACUGGGGAUCUUGAGUGGGCGAGA